CCUACGGGAGGCAGCAGUGGGGAAUAUUGCACAAUGGGGGAAACCCUGAUGCAGCGACGCCGCGUGAAGGAAGAAGUAUCUCGGUAUGUAAACUUCUAUCAGCAGGGAAGAUAGUGACGGUACCUGACUAAGAAGCCCCGGCUAACUACGUGCCAGCAGCCGCGGUAAUACGUAGGGAGCAAGCGUUGUCCGGAUUUACUGGGUGUAAAGGGUGCGUAGGCGGAUUGGCAAGUCAGAAGUGAAAUCCAUGGGCUUAACCCAUGAACUGCUUUUGAAACUGUUAGUCUUGAGUGAAGUAGAGGUAGGCGGAAUUCCCGGUGUAGCGGUGAAAUGCGUAGAGAUCGGGAGGAACACCAGUGGCGAAGGCGGCCUACUGGGCUUUAACUGACGCUGAGGCACGAAAGUGUGGGUAGCAAACAGGAUU
rnacentral:rRNA from 1 species